CCAUCACAUCUCGAGAGGUGCAAACAUCCGACUCACCCCCCCACUCACCCACUCACUCCCACCACCCCUCGCACGCCGGAGUACACUAGUCAUGCACAGGUGCAGACGCACACAGGGUUUUUCAAUUUGCAAUCAGACUCAGCAUGGUGAACUCUCCACGUUCGCUUCCACUGUCCCUUGUAUUUGGCAUCAAAGUUCCGCCCCGCCAUAAAAGCCAAAUUCUCUAUGACACGGUGGAGAUUGCUCUGUCGAAAAUGCAAUCAGCCAAAGCCGCCUCAAGUGCUGAUGAAUUACUGUGGCUUAGGGAAAGACAAUGACUUGUCAGUUUUUGCACCGAUUGGCUCCGUGGAGGGACGGGCACUCGGGGGGGACUGAGGAGAAAGUCACAACGCAGGACACAUCCU